rnacentral:rRNA from 1 species
GAUGAACGCUGGCGGCGUGCCUAAUACAUGCAAGUCGAGCGAACAGACGAGGAGCUUUCUCCUCUGACGUUAUCGGCGGACGGGUGCUUAACACGUGUUUAACCUACCUAUCCGACUGGGAUAACUUCGUGAAACCGUAUCUUAUACCGGAUAAUAUAUUGCACCGCAUUGUUCAAUAGUUAAAUUCGCUUUUUCUUUCUCUUAUAGAUUGAUCCGCGCCGCAUUAGCUAGUUGUUAAGGUAACGGCUUACCAAGGCUACGAUGCGUAUCCGACAUGAGAGGGAGAACGGCCACACGGGAACAGAGACACGGACCAGACACCGACGGGAGGCAGCAGAAGGGAAUAUUACGCAAUGGGCGAAAGCUUGACGGAGCAACGCCGAGUGAGUGAUGAAGGACUAAGGAUCGGAAAACGCUGUUAUUAGGGAAGAAGAAAAGUGUAAGUAACUAUGCACGUAUUGACGGUACCGAAAAAGAAAGCCACGGCUAACUACGUG